ACUACCCAUACCUUUUUUUUUUUUUUUUUCUCCUGUAAUUUAGUUUUCAGAGAGAAUUUUUUGGGUGAGUGUUUACUUAAUAAUACCUCCUUGGACGCCUGGGUGGCUCAAUCGCCAAGCAUCUGACUUUGGCUCAGGUCGUGGUCUCACGGUUCAUGAGUGCCAGCCCUGGAUCAGAAUGCAAACAGAUUGGAUACAGUUCAAAGACUGGGCAGCAAAACAUAAUUAAGAAGUGACUGACUUCUGGGAAAAGAUGAAAAGAGAUCCAAGUCCGAAAGCCAUGUUGCAGAAACCCCUGGAAGGAGGUGAUCACCAUUUCCAAGCAUGGCAAUUCCGGCAAUAAAAGACGAGGAGAGGAACUUCUGGGAGAGGGGCAGGAGUUCAAAAGAGGGUGUUGCAUGAGAACCUACUAGAAUGGGUAAGAUUGGCCCUUCCCCAGGAGGUGAAUGAGUAUACACAGUGUCUGUGAUAAAUCACAGUUGAAUGGAGAACCGUGAUUUGAAGGGAAGAGAAUGUACAUUUCCUCUGAGGCUAAACAGCAGCACCACCAAAAAGCCCAUCAUUUAGAGUGGGGGUCGGCCAACUUUUUCCGUGAGAAGCAUGGAUCAUAAAUGUUCUCGGCCGUGUGGCCCUCCGGGCUCUGUGUCACCUGCUCUACUCUGCCUUUGUUGGCUGAAAGCAGUCAUAGAUGAUAUGUAAAUAAUACGCGUGGCUGUGUUUCAAUAAAACUUUAUUGACA